ensembl:lncRNA
AUGUAUCUGUGCUGGGAUUUUUUCACAGAUUGCAAUAUAACAGAUAUGGAAAAGCAGUCUUCCAAGAUCAACAAGAAAUGUACUUAUGUUCCUACGCUAAAGACUCUCUGUGCCACUUCCUUCCACAUCUUUGGCCAACUUGGGAUUCACCUACCCCCCGCAGGAAAUGGUACGCUCGCCUGCAGUGGAGGCAUACAGUCGUGUGUGUGAAUUUAAUUGCUAUUCCUUAGUGUUCAGUAGGACUGAUUCAACAGAAAGGUGUAGUUACAGUAUUUAAUGCUGGCUUGGUCUUUUAGGGUCAACAUCAGUUUCGAGCAAAUAGGCUAUUCAGAAUUAAAUGUAAUUUGACAUUUUUAUGAUGAUUUUUCAAUUAUUUUAAUUUGAAUGACCUCAACCAAACUUCCUCAAAGUUGUGAUCUGAUUUUUAUUUUUGACAGGAAAUGAAGAAUAUCAUGUGCCUACAUCACCAUCCGGUGGAUUAAUUUGUCUCUUUCCUUUUCAAGUUCCAUUCUGUUGUACAGUGUUUUUGGGCGCUAUGUGGUAGCCAAAAUUCUACUUGAAGUGACAGGGUGGUGGAACAUAGUUGGCUCCCAGCAGACUUUGUUGACAUUCUGGCGGGUGGAAUUCUUUCUUUGUGUUAUAUGCUGCAAGUAGUGGGAAAAGUACCCGAUUUGUCAUAUGAGUAAAAGUAAAGAUAACUUAAUAGAAAAUGACAAGUAAAAGUGAGUCAUCCUGUAAAAUACCACUUGAGUAAAAGUCUGUUUUUGGUUUUAAAUAUACUUAAGUAUGAAAAGUAAAUGUAAUUGCUAAAAUGUACUUAGGUAUCAUAAGUAACAAUUAUUUCACGACUUAUGUUCAGCAAACAGGACCCCACCAUUUUCUUGUUUAUGUAUUGAUAGCCAGGGGCACACUCCAACACUCAGACAAUUUACAAACAAAGCAUUUGUGUUUAGUGAAUCAACCAGAUCAGAAGCUAGGGAUGUUCUCUUUCUAAGUGUGUGAAUUGGACCAUUUUCCUGUCCUGCUAGGCAUUCAAAAUGUAAUGAGUACUUUUGGGUGUGUGAAGUAAAUGGUAAAGUACAGAUACCCAAAAAAACUACUUGAGUAGUACUUUAAAGUAUUUUUACACCACUGAUCAAAUCAAAAGUAUUUAUAUAGCCCUUCGUACAUCAGCUGAUAUCUCAAAGUGCUGUACAGAAACCCAGCCUAAAACCCCAAACAGCAAGCAAUGCAGGUGUAGAAGCACAGUGGCUAGGAAAACUCCCUAGAAAGGCCAAAAACCUAGGAAGAAACCUAGAGAGGAACCAGGCUAUGUGGGGUGGCCAGUCCCCUUCUGGCUGUGCCGGGUGGAGAUUAUAACAGAACAUGGCCAAGAUGUUCAAAUGUUCAUAAAUGACCAGCAUGGUCGAAUAAUAAUAAGGCAGAACAGUUGAAACUGGAGCAGCAGCACGGCCAGGUGGACUGGGGACAGCAAGGAGUCGUGUCAGAUGGUCCUAGGGCUCAGGUCCUCCGAGAGAGAGAAAGAAAGAGAGGAGAGAAUUAGAGAACGCACACUUGGAUUCACACAGGACACCAAAUAGGACAGGAGAAGUACUCUAGAUAUAGCAAACUGACCCUAGCCCCCCAGCACAUAAACUACUGCAGCAUAAAUACUGGAGGCUGAGACAGGAGGGGUCAGGAGACACUGUGGCCCCAUCCGAGGACACCCCCGGACAGGGCCAAACAGGAAGGAUAUAACCCCACCCACUUUGCCAAAGCACAGCCCCCACACCACUAGAGGGAUAUCUUCAACCACCAAUUUACCAUGGUGCCAGAGAGACUGGGGGCUCAUUAACCUGCCCCUCAAAAUCCCAGUGACCUCUGUGACCAGGUCACUGAUAGGUUGCUAGGCUCAGGUUUCUAGGGGGCUGGACACCUGCCAGCCCUUCUGCCUGCUCAGAUCAGAGCCUCAGUCUCUCCAAGUGGACAUGUUUGAGGGAGUGCAUGGACAGAAGUGAGUGGUACUAUUUUAACUGGCUUUGUUGUAAACAUGCUCAGGAGCAGUCUCAUAUUUAUAAAGUCCUUUGCUUAGAGAUUGCUAUUCACUGUUUAUGGGGCAACACAGUCAAAAGUGAGAUUUUCCUGUUUUCUAAAAUGAUAUUUCCUCACACUAGCUAGGUUUCCAUCCAAUUUGUGACAGAUUUUAUAAUAUUCUAAAAUAUGUAUAAAUGUGACUUCCCACCAGAGCUGCGUUUCCAUCUAAUUGAUUUGUUGGGAAUUAAAAGCUGGGCAUGAUGUUGUGCACAUACGUUUGCAGUUAAAUUCCCCUGUACCGAAUAAAAAAAUAAAAGUUAAAUGAAUUUCCCUCGCAUUUUCAAUUCUACUUAUGAUUUUGUCACAAAAAAUGUUGUGUUACAUAGCGAAUGUGCCCUCUCUGCACCCCUCUUGAUUCUACACAUUUUGCCACGGGGCACAGAGAAAAUGUUGCAGUUUUAAAGCAAGUUUGCUGCAAUUCGAC